AAAAGUAAUUGUGGUUUUUGC
rnacentral:miRNA from 4 species